GAGACCAACCCAUGUCAGCCUCUGUCCAGACAAAUGAAUGUGAUCUGCUGAAAUCAGCACAGCCCCCCAGUGGGGAUCAGCACAGACUGCACACCUUCAGAUGACCUCCAAAAAAAGGUUAUCAUACAGAGGCAUCCAAGUAAGUGGGAAUCUACUAUCUCCAAAUAAGAAAGUUAAACAGAAGAAGUGGUUUUCCUUCACUCUCCAGAUAUUAGAACCAGAUCCUGUGACCCGAGUACAGCUAAACAGAUGUCCUACAUUUGAAUUUUGAAAGAGAGAAUGAAUGGUUCAGGAUCCAUUACCAUCGCUGUUGCCUUGGCCUGGGCUUUAUGAUCUGUGAAGAAUUCCUGCAGCGGUCCAGUACUCUCAGCGCCUGCUUCUCACGUCACUACCUUCCAAGAUGUAUUAGCACCCACUUUUUCAAACAUAAGUCUGCUCAUAUCCUUUAGUGGAAUUCUCAAUGUAAAAAAGGUCACCAGUUUCUGUGAAGCUCAACAAG
rnacentral:lncRNA from 1 species